rnacentral:rRNA from 1 species
UACAGAGGUCUCAAGCGUUGUUCGGAUUCAUUGGGCGUAAAGCGCACGUAGGCGGUUCGAUAAGUCCCGUGUGAAAUCCCUCGGCUCAACUGAGGAAUGGCACGGGAAACUGACGGGCUUGAGUUCGGGAGAGGGAAGCGGAAUUCCGGGUGUAGCGGUGAAAUGCGUAGAUAUCCGGAGGAACACCGGUGGCGAAGGCGGCUUCCUGGACCGACACUGACGCUGAGGCGCGAAAGCUAGGGGAGCAAACGGG